UCCUCCCUCUGGCGGCGUGUCUAAUACAUGCAAGUAGAACGCUGAAGAGAGGAGCUUGCUCUUCUUGGAUGAGUUGCGAACGGGUGAGUAACGCGUAGGUAACCUGCCUUGUAGCGGGGGAUAACUAUUGGAAACUAUAGCUAAUACCGCAUAACAAUGGAUGACACAUGUCCUUUAUUUGAAAGGGGCAAUUGCUCCACUACAAGAUGGACCUGCGUUGUAUUAGCUAGUAGGUGAGGUAAUGGCUCACCUAGGCGACGAUACAUAGCCGACCUGAGAGGGUGAUCGGCCACACUGGGACUGAGACACGGCCCAGACUCCUACGGGAGGCAGCAGUAGGGAAUCUUCGGCAAUGGGGGCAACCCUGACCGAGCAACGCCGCGUGAGUGAAGAAGGUUUUCGGAUCGUAAAGCUCGGUUGUAAGUCAAGAACGGUUGUGAGAGUGGAAAGUUCACACUGUGACGGUAGCUUACCAGAAAGGGACGGCUAACUACGUG
rnacentral:rRNA from 1 species